rnacentral:rRNA from 1 species
AUUGAACGCUGGCGGCAUGCUUUACACAUGCAAGUCGAACGAGUGGCGAACGGGUGAGUCAUACAUCGGAACGUACCGAGUAAUGGGGGAUAACCAAUCGAAAGAUUGGCUAAUACCGCAUAUUAUUCCAGCGGCCGAUAACUGAUUAGCUAGUUGGUGGGUUAAAGGCCUACCAAGGCGACGAUCAGUAGCGGGUCUGAGAGGACGAUCCGCCACACUGGGACUGAGACAAGGCCCAGACUCAUACGGGAGGCAGCAGUGGGGAAUUUUGGACAAAGGGGGCAACCCAGAUCCAGCCAUGCAGCGUGUAUGAAGAAGGCCUUCGGGUUGUAAAGUACUUGUGAUAGAAAAGGGGUACCUAAAGAAUAAGCAACGGAUAACUACGUGCCAGCAGCCGCGAUAAUAC